GGCGGUUGGAUUCAAACACUAAACAUCAACGAAUAGGGGUUUAUAACGCAAGGAGGUGAAACAUAAAAGCAAAUAGUUUUUAAGUAUAUAUUCAAGUCAGGUGAGCUGGGUAUCUUGCUUAAGAAGCAUCCAGAAGAAAUAAAGUGAAUUUUGAGAAUCUGGGAUUAAGAAUAAAAUCAUAGCAUCUUUGGGAAAAGUCAUUUAAUUCAGCGACCCACUCGCUAUCUGAAUACCGUUGCCUGAAGUAACCCAUAAAAAUAUGAGGCGGCGGAGGAGUGUGCAGAAAAAUUUUCGAUACCUAUCCCGCAGCCCCAGAGAUGGCCUCGUGUGUUAUACAAAAUGUUGGACAUAAUUACUACACCAUCUUGCAAACGGGCCUUGACAGACCUAAGGCAAUCUCCAAAGCUGAAUAAACACUAGGGGGCUCCCUGGAGGGCAGAAGUUUGCAGGAAAGAAAUUGCAAAAUGACAUGUCUAGAACAUGCAGUGAUGGCCUCAGCCUUCAUGCUCCCAGGCCAGGAACCAGUGGAACUAUCCCAGGCACCAUAGAGGAUCCAUCGGGAGUCCACUGGGCUCCAGUGGAGAUCUAAGCACCCGCUCACCAUCACGGAGAAGCCUGCCAUCAAGAGGUGCCUAGAGAUACUUCAAUACAACAUUUCAGUCUUUGAAGGUGGCCAGGUGCCUUCAGGAGCACACUUGGUGAGACAGACACAAGUGGGCAAAGCCACCUGUGGCUCACUUAGAAGAAGCCCGCCAUUGCCUCAAGAGGGAACAAGACAACAAGUGCAUCUGUAUCUCUCCCUGUCACAGAUUGGAGUGUCUGACAUGCAUAUCAGUGUCAAACCAAGUUCAAGGCCCAUGAGGUGGCCUGCGAGAAUCCCCACAUGGCCAUCCCACACUCUGAGAGAGCCCCUCAAGGAUGCCCCUUCUACAAAGCAGUUCAUGGGCAGCAGCAGCCCAGACCACCUCCGGGAGCCGACCCAGCCUUGUAAUCUCAACCACCACCACUGGCUGACCCAGGGAAAGAAAAAAGGCAAGGAGCAAGAAGGUGGGUGAGCAGAAGGAAACUCCCCAGGAGCAGCAGUAGGCAGAGAACCAGAGGUGGAGAUAGAAACAGAGGAUCAUUUUAAGUUGAAAAUAGAAGCACUAGAGCUGUCCAGGGGCCUCAGUCCUGAAAGCCCAGGUGGACAAGACAACUGAGAUGGACAUAAGCCAGGAUGUCCAAGGGACUGGGACAGAACUCUGCCCAGGACUGCCAUCAACGGUUUACAGAAUCAACUUUCGUCCCCUUUUCACAAAUUGGAACAGUGUGUACCAUCUACAGUCUUCUGGCAUCUCCCCCUGGCUCCAUAGUCCCUGAAAAACUGCCAACAGUCUUCUCGUAUAUAAAUUCUAUUGAUAGCCCAGCCAGAAUUUGUCCAAGCUCGGAGACACAAGCUCAUUCAAAGCCUAGUGUUCUCUUACCAUCUUCCUCCUGGUAUUUGUAUGACCAACACGCAGCUCCACUGAAGUGGGAGCAGGGAAGCUGGU